rnacentral:rRNA from 1 species
CGGACGGGUGAGUAACACGUGGGUAACCUACCUAUAAGACUGGGACAACUUCGGGAAACCGGAGCUAAUACCGGAUAAGAUAACCGAACCGCAUGGUUCGAUAGUGAAAGAUGGUUUUGCUAUCACUUAUAGAUGGACCCGCGCCGUAUUAGCUAGUUGGUGAGGUAACGGCUCACCAAGGCAACGAUACGUAGCCGACCUGAGAGGGUGAUCGGCCACACUGGAACUGAGACACGGUCCAGACUCCUACGGAGGCAGCAGUG